rnacentral:snRNA from 1 species
AACUUCUCGCCGAUAAAAAGUCUGGUCAAACAUUUGAAAAGAUACAGAGAAGAUUAGCAUGGCCCCUGCACUAGACACGCUCAGUCUGAGAGAGUACACCUCUUUUU